rnacentral:rRNA from 1 species
GCAAUCACCUCACGGAGGCAAGUACCG